CCCGCACCGGUUUCUUCCCCCCAUUUCGUGUCUGUCCGAGGGCGGUGUGGGGCACAUGCUGAGAUGAAAAGCCAUGUGCUAUGGGAAACCAUGGAUCAUCCGACUACUGUAAAUCUACACCUUGUGCACAGGUUAUGGAAUGAUUCAGACAGCUGAAGGACCAGUAGGAUGGAGGUACGCUGAUCCGUUUCAACAACUGAGAUGCAGGUGUUUGGCAUCCUCAUGCCCUCUGCUCCAGGUUUUGAAUCUGUUGGAACCAGAGUCUGCAGCAGCUGAUGAAGGAAUGAAUGUCGUCACGCGACUCCCUGCUGCUUCACAGAGCCUCUGAGGGGAGUGGCAGCUCAUAGUAGAGGAAACUGAACUGAAGGGUCAACAAUACUGCCGGCCUGCAGCGUGAAAGCGGACACCUUAAACUUCGGAGAUUAACUUGAGCAACGGCGCUGACACGAAGAUGAUGGGGAAACUUUAUCCUCGAUUUACUGAGCUGAUGCUGUGAUCAGGAUGGUCUGAGCUUCAGGAGUUUAUUUAUAAUUCAAUAAAGAUUUGAGAUGGACCCACA